rnacentral:rRNA from 1 species
UACGGGGGGAGCAAGCGUUGUUCGGAUUUACUGGGCGUAAAGGGCGCGUAGGCGGUCGUGACAAGUCACUUGUGAAAUCUCCGGGCUUAACUCGGAACGGUCAAGUGAUACUGUCGGACUAGAGUACAGAAGGGGCAACUGGAAUUCUCGGUGUAGCGGUGAAAUGCGUAGAUAUCGAGAGGAACACCUGCGGCGAAGGCGGGUUGCUGGGCUGAUACUGACGCUGAGGCGCGAAAGCCAGGGGAGCAAACGGG